rnacentral:rRNA from 1 species
GAAGUAUUAUAUAUAUAUAUAUAUAUAUAUAUAUAUAUAUAAUAAUAAUUUUAAUAAAAAUAAUUUUAUUUAUAAUGGUUUUAGUAUUUUUAAAGAAUUAAUUUAAUAAGUUAUAGGGGAUUAAAUCUGUAAAGGUAAUUUGAAAUAAAUUGAAAAUUAAAUAAUAUUAAAGUAGAUUUAAUUAAUUUUACCUUGUGUAUCAGGGGGUAUUAAUUUUAAAGAUUGUAUUAUUUUGUCUCGAAUUUAAAAGAGUUAAUAUAUUAUGAUUUAUAUUGUUUAAUAAAUAUAUUUAAUAAAAUAUUAGUAAUGAAAUGUUAGUCGAUUUUAAAUAUAUCUAGUUUUUAGGGAAAUAAAUUUAAUUUAGGGAAUUUAGUUUUAAUAAAUUUAUUUUAAUAAGGGAAAUAAAUUUAAUUGAUUUACUUAUAUUUUAAGGGUUAAUCUUUAAUUUAUAUUAUCUAAAAUUAAUAAUUGAAUUCAUAAAUUUAAAGGUUUAGUAAUAUCUAUUAUUUUGUAAAUGUUAUAAUUUAUUUAUGUUGAAGGUUGAUUUUAUUUAAUUUAGAUAUUUUAUUUAAAUAAAUUUUAUAUUAAUUAUGAUUUUGUAAUAAUGAUAGUAUUAGUAAAUAUAUAUAUAUAUAUAUAUAUAUAUAUAUAAAUAAGGAAUUUGGCAAGAAUAAGAAUAUAUUCACCUGUUUAACAAAAACAUGUCUUUUUGAUUGAUAAUUUAAAGUCUAAUCUGCCCAAUGAUUAAGUUUAAUGGCCGCGGUAUUUUGACCGUGCAAAGGUAGCAUAAUAAUUAGUUUUUUAAUUGAAGACUGGAAUGAAUGAUUGAAUGAAAUAUGUACUGUCUCAUUUAUAUUAAUAAUUGAAGUUAAUUUUUGAGUGAUAAAGCUUAAAUUUAAUUAAGGGACGAGAAGACCCUAUAGAGUUUUAUAAGUGUAUUAUUUAUGUAUUAAAUUAUUUAUUAAAUAAUUAUAUUUAUUUAAUUGGGGUGAUUGGAAAAUUUAUUAAACUUUUUUAAUUGUUUAAACAUUAAUUUAUGACUUAUUGAUCCUUUAAUUUAUAAAGAUUGUUAGAUUAAAUUACCUUAGGGAUAACAGCGUAAUUUUUUUUGAAAGUUCUUAUUGAUAAAAAAGAUUGCGACCUCGAUGUUGGAUUAAAAUUAAUUUUAGGUGUAGGAGCUUAUAAAAUUGGGUCUGUUCGACCUUUAAAUUUUUACAUGAUCUGAGUUCAGACCGGCGUGAGCCAGGUUGGUUUCUAUCUGUAAUUGAGUUGAAUAUUCUAGUACGAAAGGAAUGAAUAUUUGUAAUAAAUUAUAAUUCAAUAGGAGUAUUUAAUUAAUAAUAAUAAUUUA